rnacentral:misc_RNA from 1 species
GAUGAAGAACGUAGCAAAAUGCGAUAAGUAAUGUGAAUUCCAGAAUUCAGUGAAUCAUCGAAUCUUUGAACGCACAUUGCGCCCGCCAGUAUUCUGGCGGGCAUGCCUGUUCGAGCGUCAUUUCAACCCUCAAGCACAGCUUGGUGUUGGGACUCGCGUUAAUUCGCGUUCCUCAAAUUGAUUGGCGGUCACGUCGAGCUUCCAUAGCGUAGUAGUAAAACCCUCGUUACUGGUAAUCGUCGCGGCCACGCCGUUAAACCCCAACUUCUGAAUGUUGACCUCGGAUCAGGUAGGAAUACCCGCUGAACUUAAGCAUAUCAAUAAGCGGAGGA